AGUGAACGCUGGCGGUAGGCCUAACACAUGCAAGUCGAACGGCAGCACAGUAAGUGCUUGCUCUUACGGGUGGCGAGUGGUGGAUGGUUGAUGAAUAUCUCGCAAUCUACUUUUUCGUGGGGGCUAACGUAGGGACACUUACGCUAAUACCGCAUACGACCUACGUGUGAAAGCAGGGGAUCUUCGGACCUUGCGCGAUUGAAUGAGCCGAUGUCGGAUUAGCUAGUUGGCGGGGUAAAGGCCCACCAAGGCGACGAUCCGUAGCUGGUCUGAGAGGAUGAUCAGCCACACUGGAACUGAGACACGGUCCAGACUCCUACGGGAGGCAGCAGUGGGGAAUAUUGGACAAUGGGCGAAAGCCUGAUCCAGCCAUACCGCGUGGGUGAAGAAGGCCUUCGGAUUGUAAAGCCCUUUUGUUGGGAAAGAAAAGCAGCAAGUUAAUACCCCGCUGUUCUGACGGUACCAAAAGAAUAAGCACCGGCUAACUUCGUG
rnacentral:rRNA from 1 species